rnacentral:rRNA from 1 species
UACGGGGGGAGCAAGCGUUGUUCGGAUUUACUGGGCGUAAAGGGCGCGUAGGCGGCCACCGCAAGUCAGUUGUGAAAGCUCUGGGCUUAACCCAGAAAGGUCAACCGAUACUGCGGGGCUAGAGUGCAGAAGGGGCAACUGGAAUUCUCGGUGUAGCGGUGAAAUGCGUAGAUAUCGAGAGGAACACCUGCGGCGAAGGCGGGUUGCUGGGCUGACACUGACGCUGAAGCGCGAAAGCUAGGGGAGCGAACGGG